GCUCGCUCCGGCAGCACACACAGGGAUUGGAGCGAUGCAGAGAAGAUUAGCGUGGCCCCUGCCCACGGGUGGCAGCAAAUUCCUGAAGCGUUCCGUAUUUAA
rnacentral:snRNA from 1 species